GGUGAGCAGUGCGGUCCCUAAAUAGGGGCUGCUCAGACGCACAGGAGUCUGCCGGAAACAGCUGCCACUCAAUCCCAGCUGCUAACGACCGUUGUCCUGUGCCGCUGACGUGCAGAGUUCCAGCUAAGAGCUUCCAGCUCAUUCAAACCUGCCCCCGUUACUGGACGCUCCAUCGCCGUCAGACUUUUGAGGUCGGAGACUCAGGUAAAGAAGAUACCUGCGCAAUGAUGGUUUUUAGAGUGGCAUGAGGGGUGCGCUUUUCCCAACGCCACUACCUUGAUUGUAAGAAGAUCGUUCCAGUGGCAAGGGAGACCCUAGACGACCGGCAUCUUCUUACAACUGCAGGAAGCUGCCGGAAUCCAGGUUUUUGGGAAACCGCCUCAAAGCUUGCUGCCACCAGCUUGCUUUUCUGUCAGGGUGUGCUCCCUUAGCCUUCGUCCACUUUUACAGCCAUUGUGGUGCUUCUCACUGCUACCAUCUUCUGCCUGUUCUACCGUUGAGGUCUUCGGGAUCACUCUUAGUCUGGACUCUACCCUUCGACCUGUUCGGCAUGGGUAACCCUGCCAGGAGUACAAGACUCCAGCCGACAUAGCUCUAGGGGUCAUGGAGACGCGCAAAGUGCCCCACCACGAUAAGAUGGUGAUCCCGUCGGGACACUAGAAGAAGAGUAGAGUUACAAUAACACACACACACACACACACGCACACACACACAGAAGCAUUAAAUUAAAUCUUGUCAAGGCCACAAUAAAAAGUCAAACAGGAUUACCUUUAGAGCAGUGAUUCUCCCCUGUGUGUUCCUACUUCCCUGUGUUGUAGCCAUGGAACACUUAGUAACAUACAACGAAGACGACUAUUUUUGGACAAAUGAGGAUUCACAACCUUAUACUCCUGAAGUUAAAUAUACUGCUGCUUAUGGAAGCCAGCACGAACAAAGGAAGAGUGAGACGUUGGAGCAGAUGGGAGGUGAAAGCGAUUUUGAAGCUAUAAAUAUGCAACUUGGAGACAAGCAAUUUUUGUGUAGAGGUUGCCCUCCAGUGGGUUUCUCGGACCACCACACUGCCACGAGAGCCCGGAUUUCAGGUCCGUGUCGCUCUCUCUCUGGCUCCCACUCCAACUCCAACUACUUGUCUCGUUCCGGCUGCUGCUGUCGCUGUCUUCGAGGCCGGUCCUUGCACACCCCGUUCCGAGGCAGGCCCGCAGGCCACGCCCCCCUCCACAGAUUGUUUACCGAAAAUCAACAGGAAACAUCCUCGGCCAGCUGGACCAGAUGAACAACUGUCCAUCGAGCAUACGGCCUUCAUUCAGGCCACGGAGCGGGCCUGUGAUCUCAUUGGAGCAGCUUCUGUGCAGGGAUGGAUUCGUCACACAAGGCGAUUCUUCCAACGGGGCCUUGCCAUUGAAGACAUAGCCUGUGAUGUGGAUACACUUUUAUGGCCUGUUCCAGCCAGACAGCGAGAUAAUGUUUAGUUACACUGUUGUUGUUGUUGUUGUUGUUGUUGUUGUUGUUGUUCCUUCAGUUUCUCUUCAGAGUUGCUGUAAGUGUAGGUACUUUGUCUACACUUUACAGUGGUGAGAAAAACUACUAUUUUAUUCUGACUUUCAUUGUUGAUUUAUCUGUUACUGUAACUGAGUAUAGUAAGAAAAUAAUAUUAUUCAGCCUGCAUCAGUCUGCAAUCAGUGUUGUUUUUGUUUGUUGUAUAUAUGUACUUUCUCUGCCUCUGUGUGAAGAAUGUUGUGGGUUUGACCAGCUAUUUCCUGAAAUAGGGUUUUUUACAAAUGUAUUUUGUAGCGAUCACUGUCGCGUCUGACUGACUGCAACACUGCCUGAUCAAUUGAAGACUGGGUUAGUGAGAUGGAAAGAAAACAUCUUUCUUAUAAAUGUGUG